rnacentral:rRNA from 1 species
UACGUAGGGGUCUAGCGUUGUCCGGAAUCAUUGGGCGUAAAGAGCUCGUAGGCGGUUCGGCAAGUCGGAUGUGAAAUCUCCACGCUCAACGUGGAGGGGCCAUUCGAAACUGCCGUGACUCGAGUCCGGUAGGGGAGUGCGGAAUUCCCGGUGUAGCGGUGAAAUGCGUAGAUAUCGUAAGGAAGACCAGUGGCGAAGGCGGGUCUCUGGACAGUUCCUGACGCUGAGGCACGAAGGCCAGGGGAGCAAACGGG